rnacentral:piRNA from 1 species
AGUGUGAUGGGCCUACCAAAGUG